UACGUAGGGGGGCUAGCGUUGUCCGGAAUCAUUGGGCGUAAAGCGCGUGUAGGCGGUCCGGUAAGUCCGCUGUGAAAGUCGGGGGCUCAACCCUCGAAUGCCGGUGGAUACUGUCGGGCUAGAGUGCGGAAGAGGCGAGUGGAAUUCCGUGGUGUAGCGGUGAAAUGCGCAGAUAUCAGGAGGAACACCAAUUGCGAAGGCAGCUCGCUGGGACGUAACUGACGCUGAGACGCGAAAGCGUGGGGGAGCAAACAGG
rnacentral:rRNA from 1 species